rnacentral:rRNA from 1 species
CAGCAGCCGCGGGAAUACAGAGGGUGCGAGCGUUAAUCGGAUUUACUGGGCGUAAAGCGUGCGUAGGCGGCUUUUUAAGUCGGAUGUGAAAUCCCCGAGCUUAACUUGGGAAUUGCAUUCGAUACUGGGAAGCUAGAGUAUGGGAGAGGAUGGUAGAAUUCCAGGUGUAGCGGUGAAAUGCGUAGAGAUCUGGAGGAAUACCGAUGGCAAAGGCAGCCAUCUGGCCUAAUACUGACGCUGAGGUACGAAAGCAUGGGGAGCAAACAGGAUUAGAUACCCCUGUAGUCCCUGUCUCUUAUAU